CUAUCUGCCGUGGGCGCUGGAGAAUUGAGGGGGGCUGCUCCUAGUACGAGAGGACCGGAGUGGACGCAUCACUGGUGUUCGGGUUGUCAUGCCAAUGGCACUGCCCGGUAGCUAAAUGCGGAAGAGAUAAGUGCUGAAAGCAUCUAAGCACGAAACUUGCCCCGAGAUGAGUUCUCCCUGACUCCUUGAGAGUCCUGAAGGAACGUUGAAGACGACGACGUUGAUAGGCCGGGUGUGUAAGCGCAGCGAUGCGUUGAGCUAACCGGUACUAAUGAACCGUGAGGCUUAACCUUACAACGCCGAAGGUGUUU
rnacentral:rRNA from 1 species